AGAGAAAUAGCUGGGUCAAAUGAUGGUUCCACUCCCAGUUUUUCAAGGAAUCUCCAUACUGCUUUCCAAAUUGGCUGCACCAAUUUUCAGUCCCACCAGCAGU
rnacentral:pre_miRNA from 1 species